UUAGAAUUAUUAAAGCAUAGUAACUUAGAUGUGGGCCUGAACUGAAAACCUGUUACUGGGGCAAGUGAGAAAGCGCGCGGGAUAGACAACCAACCCUUUUAAAGAACAGAAAACGGAAAGGAAUCAAAAUCCAAAUUUAGAUCCCCAAAUCUCUGCUUACCUUUGCAACCCUAGAUUCUAGAGAUUCCUAUCAAAGCUGCAAUUUUGAUGCAAUGGCCAAACUUGUAUCACUAGACGAUGAACCAAAGCUGAACAAUUACAGCAAGAAGAAGAGAAAUCAUGGAUCAACCAAGUUCUUCGUUUUUGUUGACUACUUAUUCCUCUUUAUCUUCCUUGGAUUUCUCUGCUUCAUUCUCUUCAAGAUGGUUGGCAUUUGAUUUUUGUUAGAUUUGCAUGUUAUUUUUAAUCAGGGUACUUUUUUUGAAGCAUCCAGACCUGAAGUUUGAAAUUGCAACUCUUUAGCAUUUGCAGGCGUUGGCUUUAUUAGAUUCAGACAUUGAUUCUAGAUUGACAAUAUCUUUCUUGAUGGUUUGAAAAGAUGUAUAUUUUUGCAGUCAAAAGCAUUUCUGUGCUCUUCCUGUUAUUAGACAUUGACAUGUCGCAUGUAAGUUAUUACAGGUAGAACCUUGCCUACAAUUUGUGAAUGAAAAUAUUUGGGAUCUUGUGUUCUAGUUGAUUUUC